UAAACAUAAAUGGUUUCACCUGUGAUAAAUAACAGUUUUUUUCUUGAGAUGCUUCAAUUCAUGGCACCUGGAGGACACCAAAGCUCCCCAUAAAAGUGUACUGUGUGCUUGUGGAUGCUUUUGGGGCCUGAGCUCUUGCUUUGCACCUCCUUGUUUUGUAGUUCCUGCCUUGGAGCAGACCCAAGGCAAGCAAUUAUUGUUUCUGCUGCUGUGCCUUUCUCCUGGUGGCUGGAGAAGCAAGGCAAGGCGUAAUCUCAUCUUUUCUCUGCACGGAUCUACAAGCCCGUGGGGAGUCCUCUGAAACAGAAAAGCAAAGAUGGAAGCAAAUCCCUAAUGUACAUGUAAGGAAGAUGGGCCUUUCUGCCACCAUCUUACAACACAUCUGUGAGUACCUGCAGGGGAGAAGGAAGAAUAUAGGCAUGCCCAUUCAAUCGAGGGAAAGGUGUAGCUGUAAAUGCAAGGCCUAUGUGUAACUGAACCCUGCUGUGUGGUGUUUGGCAUAUAGAAGUUAAAAUGUGACUGCUAGAAUUGUAG
rnacentral:lncRNA from 1 species